CCUACGGGAGGCAGCAGUGGGGAAUAUUGCACAAUGGGCGAAAGCCUGAUGCAGCAACGCCGCGUGAAGGAAGAAGGGUUUCGGCUCGUAAACUUCUAUCAACAUGGACGAAAGAAAUGCCGGUACCUGAAUACGAAUCCCCCGCUAACUCCUUGCCAGCCGCCGCGGUAAUACGUAGGGGGCAAGCUUUAUCCGGAAUUACGGGGUGUAAUGGUUGAGUAGGCGUCAUGUUACGCCAGAUGUGAAAGCCUUGGGCUUAACCCGAGGAUUGCAUUUGGAACUAUCAAGCUAGAGUACAGGAGAGGAAAGCGGAAUUCCUAGUGUAGCGGUGAAAUGCGUAGAUAUUAGGAAGAACACCAGUGGCGAAGGCGGCUUUCUGGACUGAAACUGACGCUGAGGCACGAAAGCGUGGGGAGCGAACAGGAUUAGAUACCCCAGUAGUC
rnacentral:rRNA from 1 species